rnacentral:rRNA from 1 species
AUAUCAGCUUGUCAAACCUGAUCUUGUCAGAUCUCAGAAGCUAAGCAAGGCCUGGUUAGUAUGUGAAUGGGAGACUGCUGGGAAUACCAGGC